CUGACUUCAGUGGGACUUUUGCCAAACAGCACAGUGCAGUGCAGGUAGCAGUAAGGCAAGCUUCCCCUCACUGCUUCAGCAAUGUGCCUCAAUCCUGACCUUCAGGCACCACCUAUAAAAUGAGAGGGAAAUUCCAUACCCAUGCCCAUCCAGUACUUGACCACC
rnacentral:sRNA from 1 species